rnacentral:lncRNA from 1 species
GGGAAAGGACACAAGAGGGCAUGCUGGGAUGGAGGCUGGGGAAGGGCUGUGGCACCCUCUCCCCAGCCAGGAGCCCUUUGUGAUGAGGAGGCCACAGAUGUGUGAUGUGUCCUGAGCCCUCUUUAAAAGUCACAUGCUGUACACCACAGCUCAGUGUUCUGACAGCUGCACUGGAAUAAAGAAGAUGGGGAAAUUUCUUGCUCUGAUGAAUAGUAUUAUUGACUCAUGGAUGGGCCCCAGCUCCAUGGACAUAGCAAUGGAUAUAGGCAUUGCCUUUAUGUGUGGAGCAGGGCUCUUUUUCCUAUUACAGCGCUUCCUGAAGGACUGCCCAGUGUCACCACCACCUGAAAGAGAAAGGGACAUCCCAAAGGAUGUGAAGAGGGGGCCCAGCAAGACCAGGAAGAAAACUGUUACUGUAAAAGGUGGCAGAGGUGGCAGAAAACAUGUGGAAGAGACCCAAACUCCAUCACAGCCUAUGAAAAGAGACAAGAAAACAAUAGGGGUGUUUCAAGAUGAGCCAACCCUGUGAAGACCCCACCCAGGUCUGUGGUCCAAUGUCUUCCCUUCACUGUCCCACCUUGAUUUAUUUGUCACUGUACAGAAUAAAGUGCAGUGAUAACAAUCACAAAUUUCCAUCCCCAGUUCCAAAGUAGGAGUAUCUCUACCUGCAUGCAUUUCUAGGACAGGCACAGAGAACACCUAUCCCAGGAGACCCUACUCAACUUGAUGCAGGCUGAUCCCCUAUCAAUGCUUACCUCAGCCUGGGUGAUAUGGCUGUUACUAUCCAGUCUGCUUUCCUCUCUGAAUAGAGCAGGGUCCAGAAUACAACCUGUAGUGUAUGAAAGUCGGUCCUUGCUGAAGGCCAUGUCACACAGGCCUGCCCAGAAACACAGCAAAGCCUGCAGAGAAACCAGAGACA